GCGGAGGAAAAGAAACUAACAAGGAUUCCCCUAGUAACGGCGAGUGAAGCGGGAAGAGCUCAAAUUUGAAAUCUGGUGGCCUCAGGUCAUCCGAGUUGUAAUCUAUAGAAGUGUUUUCCGUGCUGGCUCAUGUACAAGUCCCUUGGAACAGGGCGUCAUAGAGGGUGAGAAUCCCGUCCUUGACAUGAACUACCAGUGCUCUGUGAUACAUUUUCAACGAGUCGAGUUGUUUGGGAAUGCAGCUCAAAAUGGGUGGUAAAUUCCAUCUAAAGCUAAAUAUUGGCGAGAGACCGAUAGCGAACAAGUACCGUGAGGGAAAGAUGAAAAGCACUUUGGAAAGAGAGUUAAACAGUAUGUGAAAUUGUUAAAAGGGAAACGAUUGAAGUCAGUCGUGCUCUUUGGAUUCAGCCGGUUCUGCCGGUGUACUUCCUUUGAGUGGGGUCAACAUCAGUUUUGAUCGCUGGAUAAAGGCUGGAGGAACGUAGCACCCCCGGGUGAACUUAUAGCCUCCUGUCACAUACAGUGGUUGGGACUGAGGAA
rnacentral:rRNA from 3 species